CACGUAGGGCGCGAGCGUUGUCCGGAAUUAUUGGGCGUAAAGAGCUCGUAGGCGGCCUGUUGCGUCCGCUGUGAAAGCCCGGGGCUUAACCCCGGGUCGGCAGUGGAUACGGGCAGGCUAGAGGUAGGUAGGGGAGAAUGGAAUUCCCGGUGUAGCGGUGAAAUGCGCAGAUAUCGGGAGGAACACCAAAGGCGAAGGCAGUGUCCUGGGGAGUACCUGACGCUCAGGUGCGAAAGCCAGGGGAGCGAACGGG
rnacentral:rRNA from 1 species